AUACGGAGGGUGCAAGCGUUAUCCGGAAUCAUUGGGUUUAAAGGGUCCGCAGGCGGAUUAAUAAGUCAGUGGUGAAAUCCUCUCGCUCAACGAGAGAACUGCCAUUGAAACUGUUAGUCUUGAAUUCGGCCGAAGUAGGCGGAAUGUGUCAUGUAGCGGUGAAAUGCAUAGAUAUGACACAGAACACCGAUAGCGAAGGCAGCUUACUAGACCUGGAUUGACGCUCAUGGACGAAAGCGUGGGGAGCGAACGGGAUUAGAAACCCCAGUAGUCC
rnacentral:rRNA from 1 species